UAUUCAUACUAGUGUGCACCUUAUUUCCUAAUGUUUCCUGCGUCUAUAGUUGGUUUUAUGGAAAAUACGAAGAAAAAUGCCCAGAUCGGGAUGGCGCUCAUCAGUAUUAUUUUGGAACAACAAAUCUUUUUUGCCUCGUACAACAUCGCAUGGGAAAACGAAGUAUACCCUCAAGACGGACGUAUUUACCCACCCAUCGAUUCAUCGAAUACAGGGGAUACUAUUAUGAUUUCCAAAUGAAUUCGAAAGUAUCGAUCGCUAAGAGUCGGUUAAGUGGAGAUGAAUGCUCUGGGGCAAAGGAGGAAUCCCCAGCGGGGUACAGCGAACUAAGCACCGACUGCGUCGAGGGUUGUGCCAAAAAUUACACAUGUCAAUUCGGUAACUACAGCCUCUUUUUUAACAACUGUCACAAUUUUGCCAACCGCUUGUCAGAAGUUCUGUGUAGAAGAGGUACCACGUGCCCUGAUUGGUGUAAAGGAAGCUGUGACGAUGUGGAAUAUUAUUAACAUUUGAGAAAAGAAUGAAAAUGCUUCUAAUUCAAAACUUGAUGCAAUAAGAAUAGUGAAAAUGAAUCUCAUAUCAUAUAUUUCAUUUGUAAAUCAUAUUUAUUUUAUUUAUAUUUAUUUUUUGGUACAAAUUGUGAAAAUGUGGAAUUCGAUAUUCCAGUUAGCAAAUAA